UACGUAGGGUGCAAGCGUUGUCCGGAAUUAUUGGGCGUAAAGAGCUCGUAGGCGGUUUGUCGCGUCGAAUGUGAAAACCCGGGGCUCAACCCCGGGCCUGCAUUCGAUACGGGCAGACUAGAGUUCGGUAGGGGAGACUGGAAUUCCUGGUGUAGCGGUGAAAUGCGUAGAUAUCAGGAGGAACAUCGAUGGCGAAGGCAGCCCCUUGGACCUGUACUGACGCUCAUGCACGAAAGCGUGGGGAGCAAACAGG
rnacentral:rRNA from 1 species